ensembl:lncRNA
GCAACCCCUGUGAAACAAUCUUUCAACCCUCAAAGGGGUCAUGACCUACAAGUUGAGAACCACUGACUUAGUUGUUUCUGUCAGCUGUUCUGUGAAUCUGAAAAGAAGGCAAGACAAUGCCUUUUCCAGUGCAUGCAACAAAGGAGGAGCCAUCUAACCUCUCCAGCCAUAGGAUUUACAUGACAACCUUAAUAGGAUAUCUGGCCAGUGAGCUCCGGGGAUUCUCUUGUCUCUACUUCCCAGCACUAGGAUUAAUGAAUUCAUAACAAGAAAUGCAAGCUCCCUAAUCUGCAUGUAAUUCAUGUAAAUCUGGUUACAUGGGCACCACAUUGAUAUGGCUUUUAGGGGAGUGAAUAGAAGCAAGAACAAAGUCAUGUUCCUCCUCCAGUUUUCUCCUGUUGACAGUGAACACAGACAAGGAACGUGGAAGACACCCUACACAGUGUGAGAAACCUUAACCCUGAGAAUCACCUAAGGCUGAUGUCAUUUCUCAGAAAUCUGGCUUAAGAAUCACAUCAGGGAGAGACUGAAAAUCAAAAGCUGUUGAUUCCUUCCAGACUAAUACGGUUUGAUCAAGCAAGACCCCCUGAAGCUGAGACGAUACAGCCUUACAGACUACAGAAACAAGGACUUGGGAAAACUCAGGAACCAGAAGACAAUGAAAUUGGUCAGCUGCAAAAUGUGGGAGAGAUAAGAGAAAGUGAAAAGGAAAGACACGAUCUGUGCUUUCUUUUCUAAUUUGACUUCUGGUACAUACCGACUAAGGAAGUAGUGGAAGAUAGCUAAGUCAGAAGUUAGAAGAAGGGAAAACUGAAAGAAAUCUGAGACAAAGAACUCCAACUGUGUGUCAGCUGAAUAACAUUCCCUCAUCAAUGGAAAGAGAGACAGCCUUCUCAAUAAUAUAUGAGUAGAAUAUUUUAUGAGGUUGGAACAGAAUCCAAAGUUACCAAAAACAAAUUUUGAAGUCUUUCUUACUUAACUAGAUGUCCUAGUUUGCUUCCCGUUGCUGUGAUAGACACCAUGACCAAAAGUGAUAUGGGAAGAAAAGAACUUAUUUCAUCUCAUUGCUUACAGUCCAUCACGAAGGGAAGUCAGGGCAGGAACUUGGAGACAGUAACUGAAGCAGACGCCAUGAAGGAACUCAGGUUGCCAGUGUACUUUCCGUGGUUUGUUCACCUUGCCUUUUCAUACAAUCCAGGGCCACCUGGCAUGGGGUGGUACCACCCACAGUGGGCUGUGCCCAUUCCACAUCAAUCACUAAUUAAGAAAAUGACCCACAUAUUUGCCUUCAGGCCAAUCUGAUGGAUGCAAUUUUUUCAAUUAGGGUGAAAGCAAUGUGUGUUCUGGAGAAAUGGUAGACAAUGAGGCUGAGAAGAAGAAAGAUGAAAUGGAGACAUCUUGUUAUGUCAGAAAAUCAAAGAAGAUCUGAGUGCUUCCAGUGGUCAAAUGUUCGACAAUUUGAGUACAGAGAAAUCCACACUACAAUUAAUAUGAAUCAUUGAAGAAAGAGAAACCCCUACACAAAUACUUUUAUUAAGUAUAUAAAUACUCCUGAACUAUGUCAGGGAAAAGGGGAUUUAGAGUUAAAUGUUGGGGUAGAAAACAAUUAUUCUGGACACAUCAUAAAUUCAAUGGGAUCCUAGAAGAAACAGACACAGAUGCUAAACCCAUGUGCCCAGCUUGAUGGCUGCAGAGUGUAUAUGAACUCAACCUACCUAGCAACAAAGUGAUUUUACAUUAUAGGGAAAAAAUAAGUGUACAGAGAAGACAUUCAUUCAUACCCAAGCAAUGAUCCCAAUAAUAGCAUCAAUGGGAUCUGCACUUGCUGCUAUGAGGACAUCACAUCACUUUUGUCAGAUAAAAGUGACAGAAAUGAAAAAGGGCAGGUGUGAAUGAAGAAGUGCUCCCCCUAGCAAAGGAGCUAUGGUUGCUGCUGAGAAAGGGAAAGUCAUGUUUCUCCAAUGGAGUACUACCUCAUAUAUGGAUGUACUCCAAGGCAGACUUACAUAGAGGAGGCAAUAUAAACUGGAUGAAUUUAAAGAAAAUGAGAGAGGGGA